AUGAAAUCAGACGGUAUGUGCACUUUUUCUGUUUGGCCUCUUGCUCUCAACAUUAAGAUUCAUUCACAUUGUGCAUGCAGUUGUAGACCAUUCAUUCUCAUUGUUGCAAAGCAUUCCACUGGGUCUAACUUUUGUCUGACUUAAUCAUGCAAAGGUAUCCAAAAUGGUAUCCAAGUCUUUAAGCAUCAAAUCUAAGGAAAUGGGAUGUAAUGCCUGGAGGUGCAGUAGCCAUAAGGUGGUCAUUAGGUGACACAUUUAAGGACAAAAACAAUGUUAACUGCUCAGCAUGAAAAUCAUACAAAACAUCUGAAUUUCUUGGGUACAGCGAUGAGCCAUUGAAAGAGCUCUGGAAUCAUCACCCUCCAGACUUCUUGAUACCUACUUCUGCUUCUUUCGAUCUUUCCCUUGGUUUCAGAUACUUUCUACAUUCUCCUGGUUUCUCCACUAUUUCUCUGGUGGCUCCUCAGUCUUUUCUGUAAGAUGCUAUUCCAGGACGCUUACUUUAUAUGCCAUGGUUUCUCAGCGCUCUAAAUGAAGACCUCGUUUCUUCUCCCUCUAAAGAGUUUCAAUCAGCAUAUGUAGACUAGUAGACUAAUCAUUCCAAAUCAUUAGCUUGCACCUCUGUUAUGAGAUUUUUUUUUUUUUUUUUUUUUUGAGAUGGAGUCUUGCUCUUGUU